GGAUAAUAAGCUUCACUUUCAUAAGGUUCCAACGAAGACAAAAUACCAAUUGCUGUAGAAAGGAGGCAACACAUUGGAGGAUUAUUUUGAGGAAAUGGCUAACAAGACGUGGUAACUUGAAAGUGAAAUUUCCUAGGUGAUGCUGAUACUGCUGGUCCAGGAACCAUGCUGAAGAGCACUGCUGUAUUA
rnacentral:lncRNA from 1 species